UGAGGAAUAUUGGUCAAUGGGCGAGAGCCUGAACCAGCCAAGUAGCGUGCAGGAUGACGGCCCUAUGGGUUGUAAACUGCUUUUAUGUGGGGAUAAAGUGCGUGACGUGUCAUGCAUUGCAGGUACCACAUGAAUAAGGACCGGCUAAUUCCGUGCCAGCAGCCGCGGUAAUACGGAAGGUCCGGGCGUUAUCCGGAUUUAUUGGGUUUAAAGGGAGCGUAGGCUGUCUAUUAAGCGUGUUGUGAAAUAUACCGGCUCAACCGGUGGCUUGCAGCGCGAACUGGUCGACUUGGGUAUGCAGGAAGUAGGCGGAAUUCAUGGUGUAGCGGUGAAAUGCUUAGAUAUCAUGACGAACUCCGAUUGCGCAGGCAGCUUACUGUAGCAUAACUGACGCUGAUGCUCGAAAGUGCGGGUAUCAAACAGG
rnacentral:rRNA from 1 species